AGGGGAUUUCAGCUGCGCUCGACAGAAAGUGGGUGAACCUGGAGGAUAGCGUGAAUGGUGUGGUAGGGAAGGGAGAGGAGCAGGAAUCCCUUCCCAGAGUUCUUGCAGGACAAGAAUGGAUAACAUCAAGAAGGUCCUCCCAUUCUUUUCUGACUCUGUAUGAAACAUCUGACAUUGCAAUGUCUGCAUCUUAUUGAAAAAUCCAGAGGCUCCCAGACCCAGAGUACCCAGAAACAUUCACUUCCUCAAUGAAGCUUUUGAAGGAAAUUAUUGGCCCCACAUUUUUCU